AGAGUUUGAUCCUGGCUCAGAUUGAACGCUGGCGGCAUGCCUUACACAUGCAAGUCGAACGGCAGCGGGGACUUCGGUCCGCCGGCGAGUGGCGAACGGGUGAGUAAAGUAUCGGAACGUACCUUUCAGUGGGGGAUAACGUAGCGAAAGUUACGCUAAUACCGCAUAUUCUGUGAGCAGGAAAGCAGGGGAUCGCAAGACCUUGCGCUGAUUGAGCGGCCGAUAUCAGAUUAGCUAGUUGGUGGGGUAAAGGCCUACCAAGGCGACGAUCUGUAGCGGGUCUGAGAGGAUGAUCCGCCACACUGGAACUGAGACACGGUCCAGACUCCUACGGGAGGCAGCAGUGGGGAAUUUUGGACAAUGGGGGCAACCCUGAUCCAGCCAUGCCGCGUGAGUGAAGAAGGCCUUCGGGUUGUAAAGCUCUUUCGGCCGGGAAGAAAUCGCGCAGGCUAAUACCCUGUGUGGAUGACGGUACCGGAAUAAGAAGCACCGGCUAACUACGUGCCAGCAGCCGCGGUAAUACGUAGGGUGCGAGCGUUAAUCGGAAUUACUGGGCGUAAAGCGUGCGCAGGCGGUUUCGUAAGACAGAGGUGAAAUCCCCGGGCUCAACCUGGGAACUGCCUUUGUGACUGCGAGGCUAGAGUACGGCAGAGGGGGGUGGAAUUCCACGUGUAGCGGUGAAAUGCGUAGA
rnacentral:rRNA from 1 species